GAAGUGCAACGGCAAUGAACACUUCGCGGAACAAGCCAACGUGACAUACGUCACUUGAUAAAAGAAUGAACUGUCAGUGACGAAACCACCUCCUUUCCAACGCCCGUUGUCACAUUGGGCUGUGAAGUGAAAGGUGACAUUAGGAAGUGACUGUAAAAUAUAGACUCGAUUUGAAUUCAAAAUCUUGCAACCAAACGAAGCGAGCCAAACGUCGAUCAACCAUUCAAGUUUAGGUAAUUAAUUCGGUGAACAUAGAGGAAAACACAAUAGCAGCUAUUCGAUAGCAAUAGAUUGAUCUCUAGACCUGGAGGCUAGCCACGUUCUCCAGCCGAUCCCGGACUCAGUUUGUGUAAAAAAGAAAUGCUGCUAAAAUUAGUGCCCUGCAAUCAGCAGACCCUGUUCCUCCUUGAACCGCCACAGCACAGUCAACGGUUCGGUAGGGAUAGUGAUGGAAUUAAAAUUGAUUCCGACUUCGGCCGGGCCCAAAGCAAGUGAAUGGAAGAAGGAAUCAGGCAUGUGCUCAAUUUUCUUGACUUUACUCGACCAGGCAGCGAGCAGGCGGUUUGUGGGCCGGGGCACCACCUGCACCGACAGUCGGCUCGCAGCACACGACGAUUACGACCAGUCAUUCAAAUGGACCAAGCACGAUUGUGGUGCUUUGCUGGCCAACUUGGCCCGUUGCAAGAAUAUGGUGGGGCCGUACCUUGUUGCGGUCCAAUUAAUGAUUGAAUGAAAUAAUAGGUGACGCGAGCUCGGGAGGAAAGCCAACGUCCAUCAUUGCUUAUUAUGUUGUGAAUUGUUUUGAAUGUGUGUUGUGUGCUGCUCACUACUGUUUUGUUCUGCUGAAAGCGUAUAAUGGAUUUUUGUUUAGCCGACUCGAAUCAAUUUUUUUAUUUUCCUUAUA